GUGUUCGUUGAGCCGAGAGACGGUUAGCAUCUCCCUCGACAAGGACGGGAUUGCGCCUUCGUGCGUAUCCAACCCUCCGUGGUUUAAGCUCUGUCGGUCCACCAGAUCGACAUCUCAACCAAUUUUUUUA
rnacentral:ncRNA from 1 species